UCGAAGGUAGCAUAAUCAGUAGUCUUUUAAUUGAAGGCUGGUAUGAAUGGUUGGAUGAAAUAUUUACUGUUUCAAUUAAAUUUAUUUUAGAAUUUUAUUAUUUAGUUAAAAAGCUAAAAUUUUAUUAAAAGACGAGAAGACCCUAUAAAUCUUUAUAUUUAAUUUUAUAUUAAUUAUUAAGAUAUAUUAAAUUAUUAUAAUAUUACAUAUUUUAUUGGGGUGAUAUUAAAAUUUAAUAAACUUUUAAUUUAUUUAUGACAUAAAUUAAUGAAUAGUUGAUCCAUUAUUAAUGAUUAAAAAUUUAAGUUACUUUAGGGAUAACAGCGUAAUUUUUUUGGAGAGUUCAUAUCGAUAAAAAAGAUUGCGACCUCGAUGUUGGAUUAA
rnacentral:rRNA from 1 species